rnacentral:rRNA from 1 species
AUCCAAGCUACUAAGGGCCAACGGUGGAUGCCUUGGCACUAGGAGCCGAUGAAGGACGCAGCAGGCUGCGAUAAGCCUCGGGGAGCUGUCAAGCAAGCUUUGAUCCGAGGAUUUCCGAAUGGGGAAACCCGGUCGGGGUCAUGCCCGGCCACUCCGGUCUGAACACAUAGGGCCGGUAGAGGCAACCAGGGGAAUUGAAACAUCUCAGUACCCUGAGGAGAAGAAAGCAAUAGCGACUCCCUGAGUAGUGGCGAGCGAAACGGGAAGAGCCUAAACCUAUGCAGUGGAACAACCCGGUGGUGUUGCUGUAUAGGGGUCGAGGGACCCAUGCCUCUCGCGCACCGGCGCGGAGCUCGAGUUACAAAGUCGGCGAUUAGCUGAACACAGCUGGAAAGCUGGGCCACAGCGGGUAAGAGCCCCGUAAGCGAAAACCGAUCGACCUCGAGAUUGGUGUUCCCAAGUAUCACGGAGGAUAUUCCGUGUGAAUCUGCGAGGACCACCUCGUAAGGCUAAGUACUACCUAGUGACCGAUAGCGAACAAGUACCGUGAGGGAAAGGUGAAAAGAACCCCGGCGAGGGGAGUGAAAUAGUACCUGAAACCGAUGGCUUACAAGCAGUGGGAGGAUGUCUUCGGACAUCUGACCGCCUGCCUUUUGAAGAAUGAGCCGGCGAGUUACCGGUAUGUGGCGAGGUUAAGGCGUGAGCCGUAGCCGAAGCGAAAGCGAGUCUUAAUAGGGCGUCUAGUCGCGUGCCGUAGACCCGAAGCCGAGUGAGCUAUCCAUGGGCAGGGUGAAGCGAGGGUAAGACCUCGUGGAGGCCCGAACCCACCAAGGUUGAAAACUUGGGGGAUGACCUGUGGAUAGGGGUGAAAGGCCAAACAAACUCGGCGAUAGCUGGUUCUCCCCGAAAUAGCUUUAGGGCUAGCGUUUUAUGUUCCGCAAUGGGGGUAGAGCACUGAUUGGACUAGGGGGCCUACAAGCUUACCGAAUUCAGUCAAACUCCGAAUCUCAUUGCGCAAAGUAGAGCAGUCAGACCAUGGGGGAUGAGCUUCAUGGUCGCGAGGGCAACAGCCCAGAUCGCCAGCUAAGGCCCCUAAGUGUGUGCUAAGUGGGAAACGAUGUGGAGUUGCUCAAACAGCCAGGAUGUUGGCUUAGAAGCAGCCAUUCAUUUAAAGAGUGCGUAACAGCUCACUGGUCGAGUGAUUCCGCGCGGAAGAUGUAACGGGGCUCAAGCACACCGCCGAAGCUGCGGGAUUCAGCAAUAGCUGGAUCGGUAGGGGAGCGUCGUGUUGCCGUCGAAGCGGUGGCGUAAGCCGACCGUGGAGGCUUCACGAGUGCGAAUGCCGGCAUGAGUAGCGAAUGGAGAGUGAGAAUCUCUUCCGCCGAAUGUCCAAGGUUUCCUGGGGAAGGUUCGUCCGCCCAGGGUUAGUCGGGACCUAAGGCGAGGCCGAGAGGCGUAGUCGAUGGAUAACCGGUUGAUAUUCCGGUACCGCUCUAUGAGCGCCCAGGCCGAAUCUGACUUGCUAAGGAAAGCCUCUUCGGAGGCCUACCGACCCAGUCAGUAGUAGGCCAGCGAUGGAGUGACGGGGAAGGCUAAACGGACCCGGGCGAUGGUUGUUCCCGGGGCAAGCGUGUGGCUGAGGUCCAGGCAAAUCCGGACCUCGUUAAAGCUGAGGCGUGAUGCCGAGCCGCUUUAGGUGAAGCCGUUGAAGCCAUGCCUCCAAGAAAAACUUCUAGCGAGCACAUAGGGUGCCCGUACCCCAAACCGACACAGGUGGACAGGUAGAGAAUACCAAGGCGAGCGAGAUAACUCUGGUUAAGGAACUCGGCAAAUUGGCCCCGUAACUUCGGGAGAAGGGGCGCCCCGGUAGGGUGAAGGACUUCGCGUCCGGAGCCCGAAGGGGUUGCAGAAACCAGGCCCAAGCGACUGUUUACUAAAAACACAGGAGCGUGCUAAGUCGCAAGACGNNAACUCUGGUUAAGGAAUUCGGCAAAAUGGUUCCGUAACUUCGGGAGAAGGAACGCCCCGGUAAGGUGAAGGACUUCGCGUCCAAAGCUUGAGGGGGCCGCAGAAACCAGACCCAAGCGACUGUUUACCAAAAACACAGCACGGUGCUAAGUCGCAAGACGAUGUAUACCGUGUGACGCCUGCCCGGUGCCGGAAGGUUAAGUGGAUAGGUUAGCUUCGGCAAAGCUUUGAAAUCAAGCCCCGGUAAACGGCGGCCGUAACUAUAACGGUCCUAAGGUUGAUGCCUUUUAAGGAAUAAGGCGCUGCCCCUCUCAUUGGCAACAAUGACGAGUGCAGCUGGCUAUAUGCUGGGAUAUCCGAGUAUCUGGCGGUACUAACUCGUCGCCUUGACGAGUAGUGACAAACCGACCAGUGCGGACAAUCAGCAGGAAACCCAUUCGGGGAUCCUCAGAGACCACACGCCAGCCGUCUCAUUGAGACGAAGAUAUGGUCCGACCCCUGUGGCGACACAGGGAGGCUGACAGAAAUGAUCAGCCCGCCUGUCGAGAGUCGUGCCCUCGAUAUAGGUCCAAGUAACAGGAAGAGCGAAAUUCCUUGUCGGGUAAGUUCCGACCUGCACGAAUGGCGUAACGACUUGGGCACUGUCUCAACCAGAGACUCGGCGAAAUUGCAGUGUGAGUAAAGAUGCUCACUACCUGCGACAGGACGGAAAGACCCCGGAACCUUUACUGCAGCUUGACAUUGGAGUCUGGCAUGUGAUGUGUAGGAUAGGUGGGAGGCUAUGAAGCGGAGGCGCCAGCUUUCGUGGAGUCAACCUUGAAAUACCACCCUUCUCAUGACGGCCAUCUAACUUCGGUCCGUAAUCCGGAUCAG